rnacentral:rRNA from 1 species
GACGAACGCUGGCGGCGUGCUUAACACAUGCAAGUCGAACGGAAAGGCCCUGCUUUUGUGGGGUGCUCGAGUGGCGAACGGGUGAGUAACACGUGAGUAACCUGCCCUUGACUUUGGGAUAACUUCAGGAAACUGGGGCUAAUACCGGAUAGGAGCUCCUGCUGCAUGGUGGGGGUUGGAAAGUUUCGGCGGUUGGGGAUGGACUCGCGGCUUAUCAGCUUGUUGGUGGGGUAGUGGCUUACCAAGGCUUUGACGGGUAGCCGGCCUGAGAGGGUGACCGGCCACAUUGGGACUGAGAUACGGCCCAGACUCCUACGGGAGGCAGCAGUGGGGAAGAUUGCACAGUGGGCGGAAGCCUGAUGCAGCAACGCCGCGUGCGGGAUGACGGCCUUCGGGUUGUAAACCGCUUUCGCCUGUGACGAAGCGUGAGUGACGGUAAUGGGUAAAGAAGCACCGGCUAACUACGUG